GGGACUCAGCAGACCUGCAGCUUUCUGGCAAAAACUGAACGCUGCUUCUUCAUGUUUAGUUCUGGCCCUGGAAACAGAAAGUAAACCCGUCCCAGACGACCUGAGGGUUCGUGGCGGUUCAUAAGGUAUCAGCAGAUCAGAAAUGUGCUUUGGCCCCAAACCAUUCAGUGCUUUAUAAACCAGCAGCAAGAUUAAGUUUUUCCAAAUGUGGUUUAUAACAUAAAUCCUCUAAUCCAUGAUAUAUUCUUUAGGUGAUAACAGGGUGAUUUUGUAACUAACUUGAUAUGAAUGUUCAGGUUGAGGUUUGAAUCUGAUAGAUUUCUACCUUGGUUUGUGGUUUUUAACAUUUUAACAGUGAUUGAAGCUCAGCGCUGACUUUCAAUCGUUCAUCCUUGUUACCAAAAACAAUUACUUCUGUUUUAUCUUUGUUUAAUUGAAGAAAGUUUUGACACAUCAAUUUGUUGACUUGUUCAAUGCAUUUACCCAGACCCUGCAUUGUACUGUGGUCCCCUGGUGAUAUAGUUAUAUAGAUUUGCGUUUCAUCUGCAUAACUAUGAUAACACACUUUGUUGUUCUCUAUAAUCUGAGUCAAUGGAAGCAUGUAGAUGUUGAUCAGAAGGGGCCCCAGUAUUGAACCUUGGGGGACACCACAUGUAAUUUUCUUCAGCUCUGAUGUUUAAUUAGAUACCGACACAAAGUAUUUUCAGUCUGUCAAGUAGGAUUUACACCAGUUAAGUGCUGUGCCAGAGAGUCCCACCCAGUUGAUUAGUCUAUCCAGUAGUAUGUCAUGGUUGACUGUGUCAAAUGCUGCGCUGAGAUCUAGUAAUACUUAGACUGAAAUUCUGCCAUUGUCUGUGUUCAAGUGGAUCUCGUUGAAAACCUUUAGAGCACUUUCAGUACUGUGGUGCUGUUGAUAGUGAUGUUACACAUCAAAUUAAACAGCAGAACCAGGGCUAGAAGUAAAUGCACGCUACAUUUAACGUACAUGCUCCAACACAACUCAAAAACGAAUGACUAAAUUUUUAUAACUCACACGAGAGACAAUUGGACAACAGAGGUUAUGCGUCAACCUAUUGUUCGCAAGCCCGACCUUCCCCAUGAAACUCCUCUGCUGAUCCUCGUUGGAUAACAGUGCUCAAUUCUUUAGAGUGUAACGAUUUCAAUGAGGUGUCAACCUGCUUGUUUUGCAGCCUUUUCUAUUACUUCCAAAAUGUCUGAACAAAGUCCUAAGCCUUCAUUUCAUUUUUUGUGGUUAUUUUUAAAAUAUAUAUAAUUUCAUACAUGAUCCGAUUCAAAUGGCACAGAGGACGAAAAUGUGCCCAAAUGGUCAUUUUGGAAACCUCGCCUUGACCGCCCGUAAGAAGCGCAUCUCUAAAAGUGUGUCCUUCACUUUAUCAAAAUUAUCCUUUGCAGAGAGAAUUUUGAAGGUAAAACAUUAUUAUUCCAAUGAGAUCAUCCGAAAUGUGCUCAUAUUUUUUAGAGAGAUUUCAAGCUGUUUUCUUGUUUCCACAUUGGGAUUUAACCCAAUAAACGGACCGUGCACCUUCUACAUCAUUGAAGACGUAGACGGUGCAUGGUCAUCAGGACGGCCUUGGCUACCUCCUUGUCCUCUCGUGUUAGACUGAGGACUGAUAACCAGGUAGAAUUUGUAUUUCAAGAAAGGUUGAGCCAGUGCUAGCUGGU
ensembl:lncRNA